rnacentral:rRNA from 1 species
GACGAACGCUGGCGGCGUGCUUAACACAUGCAAGUCGAGCGGAAAGGCCCUUCGGGGUACUCGAGCGGCGAACGGGUGAGUAACACGUGAGUAACCUGCCCUAGGCUUUGGGAUAACCCCGGGAAACCGGGGCUAAUACCGGAUAUGACCUGGUGCCGCAUGGUGUUGGGUGGAAAGUUUUUUCGGCCUGGGAUGGGCUCGCGGCCUAUCAGCUUGUUGGUGGGGUGAUGGCCUACCAAGGCGAUGACGGGUAGCCGGCCUGAGAGGGCGACCGGCCACACUGGGACUGAGACACGGCCCAGACUCCUACGGGAGGCAGCAGUGGGGAAUAUUGCACAAUGGGCGGAAGCCUGAUGCAGCGACGCCGUGUGAGGGAUGAAGGCCUUCGGGCUGUAAACCUCUUUCAGCAGGGACGAAGCGUGAGUGACGGUACCUGCAGAAGAAGCGCCGGCCAACUACGUG